CCCCCCGUCCGAGCGAGAAUGGCGUCUCGAAGGAACACCUCAAGCUCUUUGAGCACAGCCAAACAGGCGGCCUGCAAUCGGGCAACCCCGGCAGCGGAGGCGGCGUCAAGCGCAAGCACCGCGACGGUGCCGCCGCUGGUGCAGGCGGCGGCACCAACGCGGGCGGCGGAGGCGCCGAAGAGAGCGAAGAGGAAGAUGGUGGCCUAGCGCCACCUGCGCACGACAUCUAUCGAUCGCGGCAACAGAAAAAGCUCAUGUUUUAGAGUGCGGGGGUCGCAAAGUUGUCAGACGGUGUUGAGAGAGUGCUCACUCAAGGAUUUUUGUGUCGUUUGGGCGACUGCAGCGAGAGACGUCGAGAGGCUGCACGGACCCUUCCUCUUCUUCCUCUCCCAUCACAUCCUUUUACUUCGUUUUUUUUUUCUUUCACACUUUGAGGGACCUCUGAAAGGACUCUCAAUUUGUUGGACAUCGUGGACUUAUACAUAGUACUAUAUGUAUAUUUGCGUGAUUCUUGUAGUGCGCGGAUGGUGCGUUUGUGUACAGCGAAAUGAUUGUGAAGAAAACAUUUGCAAGGAAAGAAAAGAACGCUUCAAAAAAAAAAAAAAAAAGGUGAUGCCUUUAACGCUGCUUCGAUUUUUAUCGCCUAACCGAGGAAGUGAAUUUAAGUGAAACUUUACCACAAACAUUCUACAAAUUGUAUUACUAAUUUGCCACGUUGUUUCUCAUCUUGUUCGUCCUCAUUUCUUAUCUCAGAUCGUCAGAUUAUGUACAUUGCGGGAAAAAUUUUGAUGUUGAGGUAACAAAGGAAUGCUUGAUCACCUGCUUUCAAUCUUAAAUGCCUUUUAAUGGCAUUUAAGUGACAUCUGUUAAAUCUGUGCCUUAACAUACGAAUACAAAAAGUAAGUUUUGUGGUUGAAACGGAUUACAUAUCUUCUAUACAGAUAUGACAAGACAUCACAACUUUGUUUGCAACUGAAAUACUGAGUGGCUAGACGUACUUCAAGGUUUCACCUUCACAUGUCAUGGGCUAGUGAAAUAAAUAAGCAAAAAAAAAGAUAAUAAUAGGAAGGAUAUUGCGUUAAAGGCUCCACCUUUCGACAUCCAUCCAUUGAAAGACUGCUCGACAGCGCUCAUUCCAUUUCAAGUUUUGUAGGUGAUGCGUGUUCCAUUAUUGUAAAUAAAACAGUGUAAGCCUUUUAAGUGAAUCUGCUGCGAGUGCUCCUGGUGUUGGCGAAUAAAAUUACGUUGCGAAUGCAGUUGUCCAUCCACUUGGAGAGCGUGUCAUUGGAAGAAUGUUUGUUGUUGCCAUGGUAACAUUGUCACUUGUACGAUCACUAUGUCCCAAUCGGUGAUUGUGCCUUCCCUACGUUUUUUGUUCAAAUAAAAA